rnacentral:rRNA from 1 species
UACGUAGGGUGCAAGCGUUGUCCGGAAUUUAUUGGGCGUAAAGAGCUCGUAGGCGGUCUGUCGCGUCGGAUGUGAAAAACCCAGGGCUCAACCCUGGGCCCUGCAUUUCGAUACGGGGCAGACUAGAGUUCGGGUAGGGGAGACUGGAAUUCCUGGUGUAGCGGUGAAAAUGCGCAGAUAUCAGGAGGAACACCGGUGGCGAAGGCGGUUCUCUGGGCAUUACCUGACGUGAGGAGCGAAAAGCG